CAUUUGCCAGGUGCAGUACUAUUGCCUUUCAAUAUCUGACUCUGUGAUCAUCCUGCUCCACACAUUGCCUGUAGUGGUCUAGCCUCCCCAGCACCUUGGGGAGGAUGGAAGACCUAUCUCCAAAAGGCUCACACCUGUUAACUACUCUGAAUAAACACUUUUGCAGGACUAGAUAAUUAUAAUUGUAACAUUUUUAAGUCUUCAUUUUCAAGUUCAUUCAUAUAGAUCAUUGAGAUCUGGCAGGGAAAUACUCUGCAUACACUUUUGUCUGACUUGCACUUGGAAAGAAUCACCGACCUGUUUGGAAUGCUCUCUGCCCCCAUUGUACACACACUAGAAGUAGGCAAAACACGCUUUGAGAACUUGUGUUAACCUUAAUCAAGUUACUGGAUCUCUCUGGGCUUCUGUUUGCUGAUCUGGAAAAUAAAGAUGCUAGACUAGGUGACUUGUGAGAUCCUUCUAGACCCAGCUGCCUAUGACUAUAUGUCAUUCAUCUUGAAUAGAAAACAGGAAGUCUCUUUCAUUAUUCUAAAUUGUUAAAAACUAAAUAAAUAAUAAAUUUUAAAAAAUAAAUUGUUGAAGUUCUAACCUACAGUAGGAAACAAUGAGGAGAAAAAAAAAAAAAAACAACCUGUAUUCUCCUUCACCCUAGUGUUCUAGUUUCUUUUAACCCCUUGAAAGAGCCUCAAAAGUAAGCGUCUAAAAUAUACUAUCUCACCUUUGCUUUUUCUG
rnacentral:lncRNA from 1 species